AGUGGGGAAUAUUGGACAAUGGGCGAAAGCCUGAUCCAGCAAUGCCGCGUGAGUGAUGAAGGCCUUAGGGUUGUAAAGCUCUUUUACCCGGGAUGAUAAUGACAGUACCGGGAGAAUAAGCUCCGGCUAACUCCGUGCCAGCAGCCGCGGUAAUACGGAGGGAGCUAGCGUUGUUCGGAAUUACUGGGCGUAAAGCGCACGUAGGCGGCUUUGUAAGUUAGAGGUGAAAGCCCGGAGCUCAACUCCGGAAUUGCCUUUAAGACUGCAUCGCUUGAAUCCGGGAGAGGUGAGUGGAAUUCCGAGUGUAGAGGUGAAAUUCGUAGAUAUUCGGAAGAACACCAGUGGCGAAGGCGGCUCACUGGACCGGUAUUGACGCUGAGGUGCGAAAGCGUGGGGAGCAAA
rnacentral:rRNA from 1 species